GUCUAUGUUAAGAGAGUAAGGCAGCCUGAA
rnacentral:piRNA from 1 species